ACACAUCCGUUGAAUGUCCAACUGAAUCCAGCGAAAAUGUAAGCGAUGAUGAGGGAUCUGUAACCAGGCUUUCAUUUGAGACAAUCUAUGACGUUAAAUGGCCCACGGACGCUCUCGAGAUUCAAAUGACGAAGGCGGGUUGGACUCGUGGCUGGAGAGGAUCAGGGAAAGGGACGCCCUGGUAGUGUACGAACAGGACGAUGAGUACGAGGUUUUCAAAACGGUGCUUCAGUACUUUGAUUCCCAUGGUCUGACGUACGCCUUACCGCAGAUUGAGUACCCGACGGGAAAUGUGAUGCCAUCCACGAGCAAAGCCAUAGAGAAUGCCAAGAAAGUACUUCUUAUCCUCUCCCAGAAUAGUAACAACGCUAAAUUCUCGCUUGAAACUUUCCUUGCUUUGGAGAAGUGUGUCAAACACGAUCAGCUUUGUCUGACCAUUUUGACACUCCGUGGAUUCGAACGCACGAACAUUGCGCACAUUCCCAUGCUGCAGAACGCAACCAUUGUAGAGCUGGAUUAUAAUCGUCAAGAGAUUUGUUUGGAGGCUGUCGUUAAACAUAUAAAAGAGCAGGAUGUUACGCUGAAGAGCGUGAUUCCAGCAGGAAAUUUCGCGACAGGCUUGGCUUGGAGCCACUUCACCGGCUAUCUAAAAAUAAUCCUUCCUGAUAUACCCCGACUCAUCCGCGAGUCCAAGACGUACAGAGAAAAUCCGGGCCGGUUUGUGGAGAAAUUCUUCAUCCUGGUUCCAAGGUCCGGCAGAGCUUUCCCUCUGACAGAAGACACGAGGAUUUCGAAGGAAGACGAAGAAUUGUUACUGAAGAAGACCGUGAAUGGCGCGCCGAGGAGAUACUCGCCCGUGGUGUAUAGAAUAUCGGCCGACAACGGACAGCACCAUUUCUGUUGUGCAGAAAUCCCGAGUGCGUUUGACACGAUUGGUAAAGUGUUUGAAGAAAUUUUAGAACACAUCACGCCUCAACAGAGAGCGCAUGAAGUCGAGCGAUUCUACUACAAACUACAAGAAAUAUUGAACUACCAACUGAAUGACAGACUUGGUGAUACAGUGGAAGUCAUCUUGUAUGAUGGCAAGUAAAAAAUAUCCUCCACAGCAUGGCGAAUCAAUCUUCUCUUCUCUAGUUGUUCCUUACUAUUGAAUACUUAUAUCGAUUGCAAUCAGUUUAUUUCAAAUUUGGAAAGGAAAAAUUACCUAGCAGGAGGUUAUGGGUUUUCUGAGGAAUGGUCUCCUAUGUCUAUUUCUCAUAAGUUUAUCUUGUAACUUUUAAGUACCUUAAUUUGUAGAUUCAGGAAGAAGAUAAGUAAACAAAUGUUGUUUUGAUGUUAUUUUAAUACUAAAUAUUCCUUUUAAACUUUUUAGCCAAUGUAUUACAUAAUCAGAUAGGCGAUAUCUAGGUAUGUACAAUGUAUAAUUAACUUAUCUUUAUGAAAUAAUUUACUUGUCGGAUUGAUUUUUGUUUCAUUUUGCUUCCUUAUUCAAUAACAGAUGAGACAAAAGAUGACAGCGCCACGGCGUCCCAUCAGCUUCUCAAGCGCUUCACCAGAACAGGCGCCACAUCCGAUUUGCCACCAUCACCAAAACUGGAAAAGAAGAACAUCAAAUUUGACGUGUGUCUGUUGUACGCUAAAUGCGAUCAAAAAUAUGCCGGGAAAGUAAGAUCAGCUUUAGAAGACAAACGAAAAAGAGUCGUCAAAGUGGAGCUGCCCGACCAGAGUCUCUACGAGACCGAACAGAGGGUGGCAUCAUCAGCAUGGGUGGUGCUCUUUAUGUCGACCAAUGCUAUGUCAAUGUCCAAGUCAGAGUGCAUGCCCCUGUGGAUGGCCAACUUGCUGAGCGUUAGCCUUGAAGACAACGAGCUACGCGUCAUACCGGUGUUAAUAGAUGCCAACCCAAGCGGAAUACCGGACUUCAUACGCUGGGUGACAUACAUCAGUGUCGAGGAGGAUGGAUAUCAAGACAGGAUUCUGGAUAUCAUUAAUGGAAAGGCAAUUUCGAUGAAAGCAUUAUCCCCGGUUGGUAAUGUUGCCUACGGUCUGGCUUGGGCUUUCUUCAUGAAUUACUUGAAGCACGCGUUAACAGAUCUCAGAAACAGAAGUGAAGCCAAAUUGAAACAAAUCAGUGCAGACCCCAGGAAAUGUCUUGCUACUUUGUUUGAAUUCAUACCGAUGUCUGGAAAAACAAUUAAUAAGUUGGAUGAAAUAGAAACGUCUAAAUACGGCAUAGAAAACUUCGGAUCUGUCGGACCAAUAGAAUUGAUGGUGUCUGGCGUCUUGCGAAAAUUCGAUGUGAAUAUGUAUGGAAUCUACAAGAAAACUUAUUCCAAAGAACCUAGAGAAUACGUGAAAUAUUUUAUGGGAGAAUUUGCAGCUCCACUGCGAACUUUACGAUCGAUGCACGAACUUUUUGCAGGGUUGAACAACCAGCAACUGGCGGAACAAAUAAAACAGUUUAAGGAAGAAAUGGAUUAUAUACUGUCACAAGUGACCACUGACGAAAACCAUCUCCGUUACGUCAGUGAAAAUUGCAAGCAUCUUUUGUAUGACGAUACAAAAGAAAAUCUCAUUGAUGUGCUUUUGAAAGAGAUAGAUAGAAUGGAAAGGGCUCAAAAGGUAGUAAUUAAACUUGGAACCAAUACAAGGGCUAGAAAUGCAAUGCGAGAACAAUAAAAUCAACGACUCACUUUGCCAGUGAAAACAAUAAUGAAGUCACCAUUACCCUAUGGGGAGCAAAUUUGUGAAGACAUUCCUUGUUACUUUUUCUGUUAUUUUUAUGAGCUUCUAAAAUAUAUUUUGAUGAG
rnacentral:misc_RNA from 1 species